UACGGAGGAUGCAAGCGUUAUCCGGAAUGAUUGGGCGUAAAGCGUCCGCAGGUGGCACUACAAGUCUGCUGUCAAAGACUGGGGCUCAACCUCAGAAAGGCGGUGGAAACUGUAGAGCUAGAGAACGGUAGGGGCAGAGGGAAUUCCCAGUGUAGCGGUGAAAUGCGUAGAGAUUGGGAAGAACACCAGUGGCGAAAGCGCUCUACUAGGUCGCAACUGACACUCAGGGACGAAAGCUAGGGGAGCGAAUGGG
rnacentral:rRNA from 1 species